AUGUUGAUUUAUAUAAAACUUUUGCAUGUUUAUGUUCUUUGGUGGCCAACUUAGGAUAUAUGCAUGUAAUUGGAGCUAAUUUAAGUAGUGAAGGCUUUGGACAAAAGUCGAAAUCAAUUAAGGAGGAUUGCAAAUAGGUCAACUUAUUCAUAACUAGGUUGUGCACUUUGGUUGACAUCCUUUCUUUGUUCUUCAUGUAUUGAAUGUGUUCUUGAGUAGCUAGCUUUCUAGACUAUGAUUGCAUGUUCAAUAGGUUUAAUUUAGGUGCUUUCACUUAGAUUAAUUAUUCAAGGAAAGUAAAAUAUGAGAAAUCGUUUGCUUUCUAACGUUUCACAUGGUCAACUUCUUUCUCAUGAUAUAGAAAAUCAACUCUAGGAAUUGUGAUUGGAUUUCUUGCAUGAUUGUGGUUUUGAUCUUUGUUCCUUUCGUUCC
rnacentral:lncRNA from 1 species